AAUUCUAUUGAGUCGGAAAAAAUCGAUAAAAAUAUUCAAUUAUAUUAGAGAAGUAAGCUUGAAACUAAUGAAUUUAUAGCUGUGUGAUUUUAACCGUGUGAUUCGAUAGCGAUAUUAACCAUAAACAUGUUCAAUACAAGAAAUAAGACAGAAGCUGCGCACGAAAAAGAACGUAAAGUACUGGAUGCGAUAGACGAUAUUAUACCACCAAAUAAAAAACAGGAAGAAAUUGUGUUGAAAGCAAACGCCGAAGUGUAUCAUGCAGUUAGUCGCUUUUUGAGAAUAUUUCGUGAAAACUCAGACGCGUAUAGUGAACGCUUGCAACGUAUUUGUUUCUAUUUGUUGAAAUCGCUUGAAUCGGAAGAUCCAAAGCUUUGUUACAUUGGUCUUGUUCUAAAUAAAAAUCUCGACAUGGCAUGGACACGGCACAUAGAAUUAUUGCUAUCCAAAUGUUGUCUCCACAUGGAAAAUCUAAGUCCAGAUACACCUUCGGAGAGUUUGACUUUGACAUUAUAUUUAAGGACAUUGGUUGCAUUUACAACGCCAAUAAAUUGGGAUCUAUUGAAAGUAAAUAGUUUAAUAAUAGAUUUAGAACCAAUAAUCAAACAAAAAUGCAGGAAUAUGCUCGAUACACUAGUAAAAAAGGGAUUAUUUCAAACAUUACGGAAAAUACUUUUAAAAAGGACUUGUGGAAAAAAUAUCACAAUGAAGCCGAUCUUAUUUCAAGCCAUUUUAGAAUUGUCAAUUCGACCAUUAACAACCGGAAAUGUUACCGAACAUUUAUUGAUGACAUUUUUGAUGAACAUCUUAUCAACGCCCGCCCUAAUUUAUCAUAUUGAAGCAAAUAUAAGCCAUUCUUUGGAAAAAUUUCACACAGAUUCAAUUCUGGAGCGAAGUCUUGAUUUACUGUCAAUGGAACAACAUAUGAAAAGCAUAACAGAAGAUAUGAAAGCAACAGAAUGUUUAGCUUUAUUGGCAAAUAUUGUCCAUUUAUUCCAUUUGGAACCCAUUGAUGAAGCAAAAAAAUUCGGCUUGUCUGCGUUUAUGCCUGUCUGUAUGAAACUAUUGCAAACUAUUUCAGAUUUAGUGAAGGGUCCCAAACAAGGUGGAAGUGAAUAUCACGAAUUAUUGGAAAUAUUGGGAUUGACUCCAUUUAGUUCGGAACACAAUGAAAAAGUUUCAAUAAAAAAACAACUGUAUUUGUUAUGGGAAAAUCAAACAGUCAAAAUUAUUUUGGGUGACAAUUUAAAAGAGUUAUCAAAAGGCUAUGAAAAAAUAGAAUACACAUUACCGCAACAAGGACCUGGAAAUUUGUUAAACCGGGCUCUGGGACGAACACAAUCGUGGCGUAAACUUGGAUCACCUGAAAUAUCAAGAGUGGCCAUCGUUUGUGCCAUGUACCAUGAGGCAUUGAAAACACUAACACAAAUAAAAUUAGAUAUUCUGUCCGGUCUCUGUUACGACAACACACUGUUACACGAUUUUUUCAUAUCGAUUGCAUCGCUUGGUGUUAAUUGUGGUUUAGAAGCAUUUUCAGAACUAUUGUCUGUCUCACCGAAUAUUUUACCACCUCAACUCUUGAUGUUAUUACUGUUUUGUGAUUUAAUGACGCAUUAUGUGACAGUUUUGGACGAUAUUCAAAUGUAUGAGAAGCAAACACCGUUGAAACUGAAUCAUUAUAUCGUUUUAUCAAGUUUUCUGAACAACUUUUUGUAUAAAGCAAUUCAGGAAAAUAUAUUCGAUUUAAAUAUAAUCAAUUCAAAUCCGCUAUUUGUGUCAAUGCAUUCAUUAUUAUUGUGUUUGUAUCAGCGUGAUUGUCGUCGUCAAUUUGCGCCAAAAAAUCAUUGGAUUAUUUCUGAUAUUCGUCUAUCGAAUUUUCUUGCCGAUUUGGAAAAAGGUGAAAUGUCAGCAAAAGUGCUUUUAUCAAAAAUGCCACACAUUAUACCAUACGACGAGCGUGUUAAAUUAUUUCGAAAAUAUGUGGAAAAUGAAAAAGCGGUACUCGGUUUAACGGAGUCAGUAUCGAUUGAAAUACAUCGUGAUCGAAUCGUUGAUGAUGGUUAUCGACAAUUGGCAGUCUUAACACCGGCUCAAUUGAAAGGUGUGAUUCGUGUUAAAUUCAUUAAUCAGCAAGGUCUUGAUGAGGCUAGUAUCGAUCAGGAUGGUGUUUUUAAAGAAUUUCUAGAAGAAACAAUUAAAAGAGUAUUUGAUCCAUCACAAAAUCUAUUCAAAACAACAAGUGAUCAUCGACUGUAUCCAUCGCCAACGUCAUAUUUGCUAGAUAAUCAUUUACUCUUAUUUGAUUUCAUUGGACGCAUGCUGGGCAAAGCCGUUUACGAAGGAAUUGUCGUUAAUGUACCGUUUGCUAUGUUUUUCUUAUCACAACUUCUCCAACAACAAGCCAUAUACAGUAGUAAAUAUAGAGAUGAACUACCAAGUAACAGUAACCUAUAUGAUAGACUAAGUAUUAUUAAAGAUUAUGAGGGUGAUGUGUCUGAUUUGGAUCUCACGUUUUCGGUGGAUGUGGAUCAAAAUGGGAGAAUUGUUAGACAUAGACUAUAUCCUGGUAGAAGAGCUCAACGGGUGACAAAUGAUAAUAAAAACACUUAUAUCGAUUAUGCGGCGUUUUUUAGAAUACAAAAUAUCACUAAAGAGCAAACAACAGCAUUUAUCAGAGGCUUUAAGUCCAUUGUCAAUUCAGAUUGGUUAUCAUUGUUUUCAACUCCAGAAUUACAACUUCUAAUAUCGGGCGCGGAAACGGCACUAUUUGAUGUAAAAUAUUUUCGAAAGUAUACACAAUAUUCCGGUAGAUUUCAUGAUUCGCAUCGAGUUGUUCGCUGGCUUUGGGAUAUUCUAUCUGAAGACUUUACUGAAGAUGAACAAAUAUUAUUUCUCAAGUUUGUAACAGGCCGCUCAAAGCCGCCAUUAUUUGGUGUUGGAUCUUUAGAACCGCCAUUUUCGAUUAGUUGUGACGAUUAUACUGAUGAUGACCGUGAUACACUGGGUUCGGUGAUUUGUAGCUUUUUCACAAUUCGAAAGAAAGAUAUUCGUUCUUUAACAUACCUUAACUUACUGAUAUUGCCAAAUUAUCAAAAGAAAAGUACUCUGCGCGAAAAGCUUAGAUACGCCAUUUCAAGUAACGCCGGAUUUAAAAUGCCCCGACGAUAUUUUGAAGAGUGUCAUGUAUAAAUUAUUAAUUAAUAAUUAAAUACACACACUUUGAAUUACACUUCCAAAGAAAUUUACAAAAACAGAAGUUAAAAGUGAAUAGACGUGUCAACGGACACGGACGGACAAUAAAAAAUUCUCAAUAUGAUUCGUUGUUUUUUGCGGACGGCAAUCGAUCAAUUGACUUUGUUAUUUUUUAAACUGAUAUUAUAAAGAUGACGUUGUCCAGGUUUGUUUGGUGGUGUGGCCAUAAAAUAGGCGAUUUGGAUUCCAAUACUUUUUAUUUGGAAACUGUGCAAAAAAAUUCCGUUCUGUGUAUUGUGAUGCUCAUUUACACAAAAAAGUCGUUGCCGGUGUCUGUAUGUAUUGUACAUCUCGUUCUCUCCCCUUUCGCUAUCAUUCGAUCGUCACGUAGGCAACAUAAAGCGUCAAACAGCGUCCAACACCAAUACACCGUCAAACAUAGAGACGCGUGAGCACCGACGGCAUCUCAACAACACGAUGGCAUAGCAUGCAAUCAAUUGCAUGUUCACAGUAGCAUUAGCACAAGUGAAUGUAUCAGUCGCGUUGGAUCUGUCAAACAAUAAAAUCGUGCAACAAUUCUAACAGCACAAAGUAUACCAAAAGUCUGUGAUCGAUUGAAUGUUACAAUGGGUGAUGUGAAAUUGGAACCAACUCUGCCACAGAUUACAAAAGAACAGUGUACUGUGGACAAAUCAAGUGUCGGCACGUUAAUUGACCGUGACGGUUCAAAAGGUAAAAUGGUUUUGGUGUAUAAGAAUGGGAAAUUGGCUGACAAAAAUGGGGAAUUGACCCCCCAAAAAUAGGGAAUUGGCUGUCAAAAAUGGUGCGUUUGGUUGUGACAAAUGGGGAAUUGGCUGUAAAAAAUGUAGCUUUUGGUUGUCAAAAAUAGGAAAAUUUGGCUGUCAAAAAUGGGGAAAUUGCCCCCCAAAAAUGCGACGAUAAAAAAAACGAAAAAAAUGUUUAAAAAAAUUUUGAAAGUAAGAAAAAGUAAUAUUAUCCGAUGCAAUUUGAUACUUUAAUUACAUUAUCUUUCUUAUGGUUCUUUGUCUUUUCUUCAUUUCGUUGUUUCAUAUUGUUCCCCCGCUAGGGCUAUCAAUGAAAUUCAAUUAUUCUUUGUUCUAUCUGCUCGACGGCCAAUUUCCCAUUUUUAACAGCCAAUUCCCCAUUUUUGACACCCAAUUCCUCAUUUUUGGCAGCCAUAUCCUCAUUUUUGACGGCCAUUUUCUAAUUUUUGACAGCCAGUUCCCCAUAUUUGACAGCAAAUUCCUAAUUUCUGACAGCCAGUUCCCCGUUUUUGGCAGCCAAAUCCCCAUUUUUGGGGGGCAAUUUCCCCACUUUUGACAGCCACAUUUUCCCACUUUAGACAGCCAAAAGCUACAUUUUUGGCAGCCAAUUACCCAUUUUUGACAAUCAAAUGCCCCAUUUUUGACAACCAAACGCACCAUUUUUGACAGCCAAUUCCCUAUUUUUGGGGGGUCAAUUCCCCAUUUUUGGGGGG